UACGUAGGCAGCGAGCGUUGUUCGGAGUUACUGGGCGUAAAGGGUGCGUAGGCGGUUGUUUAAGUUUGGUGUGAAAUCUCCCGGCUCAAACUGGGAGGGUGCGCCGAAUACUGAAUGACUAGAGUGCGGGAGAGGAUAGUGGAAUUCCUGGUGUAGCGGUGAAAUGCGUAGAUAUCAGGAGGAACACCGGUGGUGUAGACGGCUAUCUGGACCGUAACUGACGCUGAGGCACGAAAGCGUGGGUAGCAAACAGG
rnacentral:rRNA from 1 species